rnacentral:rRNA from 1 species
GACAGAGGGUGCAAACGUUGUUCGGAUUUACUGGGCGUAAAGCGUGUGUAGGCGGCUUCGCAAGUUGGAUGUGAAAUCCCACGGCUCAACCGUGGACGUGCAUCCAAAACUGCGUCGCUAGAGUCUCGGAGAGGAAGGUGGAAUGCUUGGUGUAGAGGUGAAAUUCGUAGAUAUCGUAAGGAAGACCAGUGGCGAAGGCGGGUCUCUGGACAGUUCCUGACGCUGAGGCACGAAGGUCAGGGGAGCAAACGGG